CGGGAUGGGUGAGUAACACGUGGAUAACCUACCUAUAAGACUGGGAUAACUUCGGGAAACCGGAGCUAAUACCGGAUAAUAUAUUGAACCGCAUGGUUCAAUAGUGAAAGACGGUUUUGCUGUCACUUAUAGAUGGAUCCGCGCCGCAUUAGGUAGUUGGUAAGGUAACGGCUUACCAAGGCAACGAUGCGUAGCCGACCUGAGAGGGUGAUCGGCCACACUGGAACUGAGACACGGUCCAGACUCCUACGGGAGGCAGCAGCG
rnacentral:rRNA from 1 species